GACAACGAGCAUAAAACAUGUAUUAGAAAAUAAAAAAUAACUAUUAAUACCAAUUCCAUGAAUAACUAUUAAAAAAUGGAAUGAUUGAAUUGGGAUCAUGAGAUUUAUGAAAUCUAGAAAAAUAUCAAAACACUCAGAAAAUGAUACCAUGUUUGUGCCCAAUGCCUAAUGCCUAAUAUCCUCUUGACCCUAUUAAGUACUUCCAGGUUGAA
ensembl:ncRNA C06H2.9 ncRNA